GCCGCCGCCCGCAGCCCGCGCCGGCCCCGCUCCGCUCCCGGCCCCGCUCCGCUCCGCUCCGCUCCACCGGCCCCGCUCCGCUCCCAGCCGCGUCCUCAGAUCCUACGGCGGAGUUGGAGAAGGGCAGAGCGGGGCCCUGGGCAGUGCUGCCGCUUUGUGCCCAUCCGAAGAGGCUCCCCCCUCCUUCCCUCUCCUUUUGCAAGGGACCCCCUUCACUGGCUGCCAGAAACUCGAGGGGGAAAGUAAGUAAAUGACUUUGCUUCUCUGACCACACACCACAAGUACAUUUGUUGAAUGCCGGACUAUUAAGACACACCUCAGUAAACUCUAAAGCAACCCCUCAGCGCAUGCAUUUAAGGUUACACUGGGAGCACCAGUCCGAGCUCAGGGUGUCCCAAUCGGUUAUGGCGAGUGGUGCGUGGGGGAGGGGGAAGGGGGGUCUGCAUAGGGAAAAACAAUAAAAAAAGAAAGAAAGGAAGAAAAAAAAAAAAGGCUUGGGGAAAAGAAAGGGAAGAAGGAGAAGAGACAGGAAAAAGAAAUUCCAAGAGCUACCGCGGAAAGUGGAGAGUAUGAACGCGCAAAGCAUAAAAUGAAGUCGUAGCCGCAUACACUUGACUUCUCUUGACAUGUGAAAAGUGCUAAAAGUCAAAGCUCAUCAAUAAAGUAUCUUGAAAUUGAAUAAGA